rnacentral:rRNA from 1 species
CCUACGGGAGGCUGCAGUGGGGAAUAUUGGGCAAUGGAGGCAACUCUGACCCAGCAACGCCGCGUGAAUGAUGAAGGUCUUCGGAUUGUAAAGUUCUGUGAUGGGGGAUGAACACAAUGACGGUACCCCAAUAGCAAGCCACGGCUAACUACGUGCCAGCAUCCGCGGUAAUACGUAGGGGGCGGGCGUUAUCCGGAUUCACUGGGGGUAAAGGGAGCGUAGACGGCCGUGCAAGCCAGGAGUGAAAGCCCGGGGCCCAACCCCGGGACUGCUCUUGGAACUGUGCGGCUAGUGUGCGGGAGAGGUAAGCGGAAUUCCUGGUGUAGCGGUGAAAUGCGUAGAUAUCAGGAGGAACACCGGCGGCGAAGGCGGCUUACUGGACUGUAACUGACGUUGAGGCUCGAAGGCGUGGGGAGCAAACAGGAUUAGAUACCCUGGUAGUC